GGCAGCCAACAUGUAUCUCUAACUUCACUGAGAUUAGUUGACAUGUCCGAGUCAGUAAGAAAGCAAGGGAGCGAUUCCAACACAGCCUCAUAGCAAAUCCCUUGAUCUUCACUGAGUACUUUGUUCAACUACUCCGAUUGAAUGGAAGCUUCCUCUAUCUAGUUGGAGAGGGGAUGGCCUUUUAAGCAAAGUACUAAAAUGGAGUUGUAGUUUAGGCUUUUCUUGCUUUGCGACGAAGCAUGAGUUAGAGGAGAAGGAAGUUACUUAUACAAUAGCUCCUACCUUCUUCUAUCUAAGAGAUUUAUGUGCUAUGAUCUACGACUUAAUUGCAAAACGAUGCUACGGUAGCUGACACCAGUAGCUGACCAAUGCUGCUGACACUAAAGUAGAGGUGCUACAAGACUAUAAGGAAAGAGGGUAGUUUAAGCAGAGCGUUCAGGGACGGAAUUCGCUUAGUCGUAAGGUUAUGAAGUAUACAACUACGCCAGUAGUUGGUGGGUUAGUUACUUAUGUCUACUGACAUAAGAGUUGGAUGAGGAGAAUAAAACUACGCUAGUUGGUGGGAAAUUGGCGUACUUUGCCUAAGAGUGAGGAAUGAAGAACUAAAGUUUCAAGUUUUUGCUGCUCACCUAUAGGAAAAACCUUGCAAGCCAAUUCCCCUGGUGGAGAUUAGUCUCAAUUUUCAAAGUUCACGCUUUACACUCCAUUUUGGUUGCAAACUUCAUAACCUAGUGAAUUGAGUAAAAAAUCCGAGAAAUUUGCUAUGUUUUACAUAUGGCUGGAUGAAAAGGUUCAAAAAAAGUUCUUCCUCAUCGGGUGGAAAUGAUCUACUUCAACCCUUAGGAAAUAGGCUUGCUAGGUUUGUCUGACUGCUAUAUGGAAUGCAACUAAGUCAGGUUCUUAGUUCCUCUAUCAUUGAAAUAUUUUUCUUUCUUUCUGUGAUCAACUACUUCAUUUCUAGGAAGGAGUGUGUAGCUGAGUGAAAGGAUUGGGAUGAAGGAUCUUUUCUUUUAUAUUACGAUUGCUCUUCUAUCCAAGCUAUUUCAAAACAGGAGUCUAUCAACUAACUCCUUAUCCUAUCCGUCCAUCGAUAGAUCAAAGUAGUAUCCUUAGAACAUAGCAAGCAAAAAAAAGUGUAGGAUACGAGGUGGCAUCUGGGGCUAGAGCUCCUUCCUUUCUUUGAUGGAUUCUUCUUACUAAAAAUUUGGGUUUUUCUAUGGUAAAGGUCUUGAAGGUAAAACUUGUUAAUAAGAUAAGAUAUUCCAGUUCUGGUUCUAUGCUACUGAUGAAGCUGUGGGCUGGCACAGAGAAUGAGACAUAGAUAAGAUGGAGCCUCAUUAGGCUUUGACAAUGACAUAUUUCAAGAGCAGGAGAUGCCCCCGCCUAAGAUGUCCUAAGAGGCUGCUAAAAGGUUCUUUCCUAAGUCUAAGUAGCCCAAGGAUAGAUGUUGUUUAGAAGGCUGAGAGCUAAGAAUUAAGGAGAGGUUGGGCUUUCACAACAGAGAGAGUUUGGUUUGGAAGUCAAAGACUCCUUUAGUAGAUAAAAAGAUAUAUAUGCUCUCGCUUCCUUCAUAGAAUUGAUUCUUACUUAAAGUAUUAGUUGAGGACUCGUGAUGAAGCUCUUGCCUUAGUGAAAGGAUAACUUCAGUUUCUCGCCCAACAGGUUUUUUUAAAGGUCAAAGGAGUCGGCUCUGAGGAGGGACCAAAGGUGAUAGGUCACAAAAGAAGCAAUAAAGAAGAGAUGGUGAGAAACCAAAAGAGAGGUCCUCUUUAUUAUUAUACUAACAUAAUCAGUUUUCACACUAGGCUUUUUCUCAUAUAUGCAAACACAACAAAUAAAACCAAACAAAAACAUUUAGCACAGAAGUUAGUAAGCAUCGGAGUAUAUUCCCGCUAAAAAAAGACAAAGAACACUAUAAAUUAAAACACACUACUUUGCAUCUACAAACACUUAUUUAAACAUUCUAAAAUAAAAAAGAGUCGACGGACUUCUUAGUUGUUUCCACCUUGUCCCCAGCAAAUGCUAGAGGCCGCUCUGACAAUCAGAAAUUUGCGCUCUUGGAUGAGGGUCCUCCUCUGUUCUUCCAGAGUUCGAAUGCUGUUCAGGAGCUUUUGCAUCUAUAGUUCCACCUGCCCCUGAUCGGCAGCAGACACGUGCUCAAAAAAGGUAGCCAGAGUUUGUUGCUGUUCAUUCUUAACAUUUUUAACAUCUUAAAUUGCUUGAUUAAUUUAAGCCAGUCUUUCAGUGAUAACUGCUGGAUCCAUAUCUAUUACCCUUUGCUUUGCUAAAUAGAGAAAGAAGUUUUACUUAUAGACGUUGGAAACUCUAAGCGGAAAAACAAGAGUUCUUCGUUUUUUGCGGGUAUCGCCACAUGGCUUAAUCCCGAUAACUCUUUCAGGAAUAGGACACAAAAAUAUAGCGCAUAUCAGAGAAAAGAGUACCCCCUUUAUAAACAAGGCCCUCUGUGUCAUUUCUUAAUAGAUAGAACAAUCGUAACUCGAAAGCGAAUUAGUACAAAAACAUGUGAUUUGUGCUCAAUUACGUACUCCACCACGAGCUGACAAUGCACGCUCAACCAAUCGUCACUUGACAGCCUAAAGUUAACCAAUACAAAACCAUGUGAUCUUUUUCAUUUACAUACCCCAUUGGCUUUGUCGUACCCUUACUACUCUUUUCCUGGCUUCUACUUGUCUUUUGCUGGCUUAUUUAUACCUAAAAACAAAAUAGAACUCCCUUCGGCCAAUCUUCAGUUGACAGCUCCGUCCUUGCCUACGUGAGACUGAAGCUAGCUUUCUUAAUUGAUCUGAUCAAACGCUUGCUUUUUCUCGGGAAAAAAACGGAUAAAGCCCCUUUCCAGCUCACUCUGUCAGUCAACUAACACCAGUUACACUAAAUUAGUACAGCACUAACUAUAGCAAUAAGCGGUACAAUGAGUUAGGUUUUAAUCUUUAUCUCAAGAGACUUAAAAAAUUGAUACAAAAAAGAAAGAUUAAGUGUUGAGAUAGCCUAUUUCGCUCAAGCCCAAUAAAAUCCUCUUCCACCUAGAAAUGUUAAUGGACUUCCUCCAUUGACUCAUGAUUCAAACAACCCAAUACUGUUAAUAGGGCUCUUGCCGAAGAGGUUGAAAAGCUCAAGUCUAUUGUUCACAAGCUGAAAGUAUUAAACCAAGCAAAAAUUUCUAGAUACACUACUCCUAAACAGCUUUGUCACACGGUGGGAAUAGCUCAAUUAGACAAUGUCAUUACCUUCAUUGACUUGGACUUACCUAAGGAAAGCAAAAACUAUCUUGAUGCUCUUUAUACAAUAAGUAUAGUCGAUUACUUCCCAUCUCAUUCGUUAGAGAGAGAUAAAUGAAAAUAUUAAUUUAAACAUUUCCAGGGUAAGGUAAUGACAGGAGUAGGAUGUUGGGCUUAACAGCAUCAAGAAGGGUUUGAUGUUACUUUUAAGAACUAAAAAGUUCAAAACUUCUCGGUUUAAAAAGAUAAAAGGAUUAGAUUACACAUAUAAGAAGUUAAAAAUCGGAGGUAGAGCAUAAAAAUGCCGCUGGAAGGGAUAAUAUAGUUAAGUAAUGUAUUAAACAAACUCAAGUCUCCUAAGACGGGAUUUGUUUGUUAUAAUAUUCUAGGUAAAGCCAAGCCCAAUGGAGAGAAUCAACAUAAUUUUAGUUGGAUUUAGCAGCAACUCGGUGUAUCAAGGGUUCUAAUACCAUCGUAGAGAUAGCCGUUGAUGAAACCUCUCAUUGUUGGUUACUAAUAGUAAGAAGGGUCUAUUAAACCAAUGGAAGCGUAUAUAUUAACAAUCUAUGAUGAACACAAGAUUGUUUAAUACAACACUAACUAUGAGAAACAUGAGAUUGUUUAAUACAACUCUUAGAUUAUCAAGGUUUAGGAUUAACGUCUCAUACCCAAAUCUCUCGAUGAUAUCUAGUUGAAUGUUGAGUUUUUAAGUUAUUUUAAUUUUAACUUUUGGAUGCUUUUGUAACGUGUUUAAUGAAGUUCAUUUACGUUUCCAUUAACUUCAAAGUCAUGGAGUCGCUGUCUUUUAAUCAUUGAUU
rnacentral:misc_RNA from 1 species